rnacentral:rRNA from 1 species
GACGAACUGUCCAAACGUUUGUUCGGAAUCACUGGGCUUAAAAGGGCGCGUAGGCGGUCGACCAAAGUCAGGGGGUGAAAUCCUGCAGCUUAACUGUAGAAGUGCCCUUUGAUACUGGUCGUCUCGAGGGAGGUAGGGGUGUGUGGAACUUCCAGUGGGAGCGGUGAAAUGCGUUGAUAUUGGAAAGGAACGCCGGAGGCGAAAGCGACGCACUGGACCUCUUCUGACGCUGAGGC